rnacentral:rRNA from 1 species
UACGUAGGGUGCGAGCGUUAAUCGGAAUUACUGGGCGUAAGGCGUGCGCAGGCGGUUUUAUAAGCCAGAUGUGAAAGCCCCGGGCUCAACCUGGGAAUGGCAUUUGGGACUGUAAGGCUGGAGUAUGGCAGAGGAGACUAGAAUUCCUGGUGUAGCAGUGAAAUGCGUAGAUAUCAGGAGGAAUACCGAUGGCGAAGGCAGGUCUCUGGGCCAAUACUGACGCUCAUGCACGAAAGCGUGGGGAGCAAACAGG